rnacentral:rRNA from 1 species
UACGUAGGGGGCAAGCGUUGUCCGGAUUUAUUGGGCGUAAAGAGCGUGUAGGCGGCUUUACAGGUCCGUUGUGAAAACUCGAGGCUCAACCUCGAGAUGUCGGCGGAAACCGUCUGGCUAGAGUCCGGAAGAGGAGAGUGGAAUUCCUGGUGUAGCGGUGACAUGCGCAGAUAUCAGGAAGAACACCUAUGGCGAAGGCAGCUCUCUGGGACGGUACUGACGCUGAGACGCGAAAGCGUGGGGAGCGAACAGG